CAGUCGUACGCUUCUUUUUCCCCGGAGCUUGCUCCACCGGAAAAAGAAGAGUGGCGAACGGGUGAGUAACACGUGGGUAACCUGCCCAUCAGAAGGGGAUAACACUUGGAAACAGGUGCUAAUACCGUAUAACAAUCGAAACCGCAUGGUUUUGAUUUGAAAGGCGCUUUCGGGUGUCGCUGAUGGAUGGACCCGCGGUGCAUUAGCUAGUUGGUGAGGUAACGGCUCACCAAGGCCACGAUGCAUAGCCGACCUGAGAGGGUGAUCGGCCACAUUGGGACUGAGACACGGCCCAAACUCCUACGGGAGGCAGCAGUAGGGAAUCUUCGGCAAUGGACGAAAGUCUGACCGAGCAACGCCGCGUGAGUGAAGAAGGUUUUCGGAUCGUAAAACUCUGUUGUUAGAGAAGAACAAGGAUGAGAGUAACUGUUCAUCCCUUGACGGUAUCUAACCAGAAAGCCACGGCUAACUACGUGCCAGCAGCCGCGGUAAUACGUAGGUGGCAAGCGUUGUCCGGAUUUAUUGGGCGUAAAGCGAGCGCAGGCGGUUUCUUAAGUCUGAUGUGAAAGCCCCCGGCUCAACCGGGGAGGGUCAUUGGAAACUGGGAGACUUGAGUGCAGAAGAGGAGAGUGGAAUUCCAUGUGUAGCGGUGAAAUGCGUAGAUAUAUGGAGGAACACCAGUGGCGAAGGCGGCUCUCUGGUCUGUAACUGACGCUGAGGCUCGAAAGCGUGGGGAGCAAACAGGAUUAGAUACCCUGGUAGUCCACGCCGUAAACGAUGAGUGCUAAGUGUUGGAGGGUUUCCGCCCUUCAGUGCUGCAGCUAACGCAUUAAGCACUCCGCCUGGGGAGUACGACCGCAAGGUUGAAACUCAAAGGAAUUGACGGGGGCCCGCACAAGCGGUGGAGCAUGUGGUUUAAUUCGAAGCAACGCGAAGAACCUUACCAGGUCUUGACAUCCUUUGACCACUCUAGAGAUAGAGCUUCCCCUUCGGGGGCAAAGUGACAGGUGGUGCAUGGUUGUCGUCAGCUCGUGUCGUGAGAUGUUGGGUUAAGUCCCGCAACGAGCGCAACCCUUAUUGUUAGUUGCCAUCAUUCAGUUGGGCACUCUAGCAAGACUGCCGGUGACAAACCGGAGGAAGGUGGGGAUGACGUCAAAUCAUCAUGCCCCUUAUGACCUGGGCUACACACGUGCUACAAUGGGAAGUACAACGAGUCGCGAAGUCGCGAGGCUAAGCUAAUCUCUUAAAGCUUCUCUCAGUUCGGAUUGUAGGCUGCAACUCGCCUACAUGAAGCCGGAAUCGCUAGUAAUCGCGGAUCAGCACGCCGCGGUGAAUACGUUCCCGGGCCUUGUACACACCGCCCGUCACACCACGAGAG
rnacentral:rRNA from 1 species